AGUGAACCUUCUGCAUCCUGACCUGUAGCAGGCUUGGCUUGUUAUGGUCAAUCAUGUCAGGCUGUUUUUAAGGAGCAGCACCCCAUACACUUGGUACCAAAAGCUGCACAUUCUCAGCCUGCUGCACAUACAUCCUUCACCCCUACUUCACUCCAUUCAAGCUGAGAAUUUGAGCUGGAAGGUUUUUUGUUGAAAUCCAGUUACAUUGCUCCACUGGAGUCUGAGCCACAAUACAAAACAAGAACCUGUUCUACAGUACUUCUUAAAAGGAAAAUGAAAACAAACCCUGCAGAUAUCACUAACUUGUGAUUAUCUUCUUUGAAAAUGUCCAUCUCACACUAUAGUUGCAAACAAGUGGUAUGCAUACUAUCUGCUGUGGAUGUUCAUAACACUAUUGUUUCAGUGAGCAUUGCUGGAAGAUCUGUGCUACAUUGUUCCUGGUUUUACUCCAAAGAUGAAUAGCCUAUUCCAAAAAUUC